GCGCUCGCGUCUUCAACUCAUACACUAAAAGCUGGAAUGAUGCACAAAAGAUUAGCAUGACCCCGGUGCAAGAAUGUCACUCAAAUUGGUGAAGCAUCCCAUAUUUUA
ensembl:snRNA U6 U6 spliceosomal RNA